rnacentral:lncRNA from 1 species
UUUGAAGACGACUUUCCUAUCUCUAGCUGUCUAAGCUAAUUUUGAGGUACAAAUGGUAUGGGGUGAAAUGUGAUUUCACUAGCUUGGAUUCAACCCAGCUGUCCAGCCUGAUGCACCAGACUGUUUCGCUCUGUUAUUAAUUUACCUCAGGCCUGACCAUGGCUAUGCAAAGGUUCCUGUUUGUGAGAGGCUGGAGCAGCCAAGCUUUGCAAAGCUCAAACUAAGCUGGGAUGCGAUCAACCGAAGGAGGAGUCCCAUUGUGGUUGUCCAUCAUAUGUCCAUGCAAUACGUUGCAGAGAUAGUGGGAAUUUGGAGGAAUUUGAUGUGUUGCUGGGUAAUUUAUCUUAUUAAGUCAUCAUUGUUGAGUUCUUCCAUGAGAGUCAUCUGGAAUCCAGACAUGCAGUGACUUAAGUGACAAUCCAAACCACCAGAAUCCAGAUGUCUUCUCUAUGAUCAAAGUAUUCAAGCCUGAAGUCUGACUUCAACUUCAGAUUCUAAUGAAAUAAACUUUGGGAAUGAAUUAAUCUUAGCCA